rnacentral:sRNA from 1 species
UGCCGCGAAGUACAUCACGUGGAUGUU